rnacentral:rRNA from 1 species
GACGAACGCUGGCGGCGUGCUUAACACAUGCAAGUCGAACGGAAAGGCCCUGCUUUUGUGGGGUGCUCGAGUGGCGAACGGGUGAGUAACACGUGAGUAACCUGCCCUUGACUUUGGGAUAACUUCAGGAAACUGGGGCUAAUACCGGAUAGGAGCUCCUGCUGCACGGGGGGGGUUGGAAAGUUUCGGCGGUGGGGGUUGGACUCGCGGCUUAUCAGCUUGUUGGUGGGGUAGUGGCUUACCAAGGCUUUGACGGGUAGCCGGCCUGGGAGGGUGACCGGCCACAUUGGGACUGGGGUACGGCCCAGAGUCCUACGGGAGGCAGCAGUGGGGAAUAUUGCGCAAUGGGCGGAAGCCUGAUGCAGCAACGCCGCGUGCGGGAUGACGGCCUUCGGGUUGUAAACCGCUUUCGCCUGUGACGAAGCGUGAGUGACGGUAAUGGGUAAAGAAGCACCGGCUAACUACGU